rnacentral:rRNA from 1 species
GUGCCUGCGUGAGAUUAGCUAGUUGGUGAGGUAAGAGCUCACCAAGGCGACGAUCUCUAGCUGGUCUGAGAGGAUGAUCAGCCACACUGGGACUGAGACACGGCCCAGACUCCUACGGGAGGCAGCAGUGGGGAAUAUUGGACAAUGGGGGCAACCCUGAUCCAGCCAUGCCGCGUGUGUGAAGAAGGCCUUCGGGUUGUAAAGCACUUUCAGUUGUGAGGAAAGGUUGGUAGUUAAUACCUGCCAGCUGUGACGUUAACAACAGAAGAAGCACCGGCUAACUCCGUGCCAGCAGCCGCGGUAAUACGGAGGGUGCGAGCGUUAAUCGGAAUUACUGGGCGUAAAGCGCACGCAGGCGGUUUGUUAAGCUAGAUGUGAAAGCCCCGGGCUCAACCUGGGAUGGUCAUUUAGAACUGGCAGACUAGAGUCUUGGAGAGGGGAGUGGAAUUCCAGGUGUAGCGGUGAAAUGCGUAGAUAUCUGGAGGAACAUCAGUGGCGAAGGCGACUCCCUGGCCAAAGACUGACGCUCAUGUGCGAAAGUGUGGGUAGCGAACAGGAUUAGAUACCCUGGUAGUCCACACCGUAAACGCUGUCUACUAGCUGUGUGUGCCUUUAAGGCGUGCGUAGCGAAGCUAACGCGCUAAGUAGACCGCCUGGGGAGUACGGCCGCAAGGUUAAAACUCAAAUGAAUUGACGGGGGCCCGCACAAGCGGUGGAGCAUGUGGUUUAAUUCGAUGCAACGCGAAGAACCUUACCAUCCCUUGACAUCCAGAGAAUUUUCUAGAGAUAGAAUUGUGCCUUCGGGAGCUCUGAGACAGGUGCUGAAGGGCUGUCGUCAGCUCGUGUUGGGAAAUGU